rnacentral:lncRNA from 1 species
CUUUCUCAGGGGGAAUUGGGUUUUUUUACAUACAACUGAGUUUUCGCUUACACGUUCUUUAAUUUCUUUUAAUUCCUGUUUCAUCACCAGGCUGGAAUGUAGUGGUGCAAUAACAGCUCACUGUAGCCUCGACCUCCUGGGCUCAAGCCAUCCCCAACCUCACCCUCCCGAGUAGCUGGGACCACAGGCGUGUGCCACCACACUCAGCUAAUUUAUUUAAAACAAUUUUUUUUAGAGAUGAGGUCUCCCUUUGUUGCCCAGCUGGUCUGAAAUUCCUGGUUUCAAGUGACCCUCACACGUCAGCCUCCUAAAGAGGUGAAGUUAUAAGCAUGAACCAUUGUGGCCAGCGGUGGGACUGAUCCUUACAAAGGUCUUGUGUGCUUCUUAUCUCUCUUGGAACCACGUCAUGGCCAUGAAAACAAGCUCAAGCUAGCCUACUGAAGGAUACAAGAACCAUAGAGGAAAGCUGAGUCACUUUAGCUGAGGCCAUAAUAGACUGAUCAGCCCCCUGCCAACAACCAGUGAUGGCAGAUGCUUGAUCGGGCCCCAGAAAGUUCAUCAGAAAUGAGUGAGUCAAGGUCACAAUAACUGAUCAGCUGAACCAUGGACUCAGGAAAAAUUUUUUUUAAAGGUAGUUGUUUGUUUUGUUUUUUAACAUACCAGUAGCUACAUAGCCCAUAUUGCAAAUGACAUCAAAUUGGACAGAAUGGUUACUGGGUUGUAAUUUUGGAAUGACGGAUUCUAAGUAUCAAGAAGAAUCUGAAUGGGAACAAAUGUAUAAUUCUCAUGAAGUGCUGUACUUGAUUAAAAACUCAAUACAAAA